AAUAAACGUAACCAUGCAUGAGUUUCCGUGUCCAACUUUGAUCGCUCCGUCUUAUUUGAUUUUUUAAGAUUAGUUUUAUUAGUAUUAUCAUUAUUAUUAGAUUAUAAAACAUUAAUAGUACUUUAUGCUUGACUUAUGUUUUUUAGUUUUUUUAAAUUAAAUAAGACGAACAAUUAAAGUUGGAUAUAGAAAGUCAUGGCCACGCUUAUU
rfam:Oryza glaberrima chromosome 11 Oglab11_0251_4, whole genome shotgun sequence.